UACAGAGGUCUCAAGCGUUGUUCGGAAUUACUGGGCGGAAAGGGUGCGCAGGCCGCGCGGGCAGUCAAAUGUGUAAUCCAGGGGCUCAACCCCUGAACUGCGCUUGAUACUUCCGCGCUCGAGCUUUGGAGAGGAGUCUGGAAUUCUCGGUGUAGCAGUGAAAUGCGUGGAUAUCGAGAAGAACACUUAGGGCGUAGGCAAGACUCUGGACAAAUGCUGACGCUCAUGCACGAAGGCUAGGGUAGCGAACGGG
rnacentral:rRNA from 1 species